rnacentral:rRNA from 1 species
UACGUAGGGUGCAAGCGUUAAUCGGAAUUACUGGGCGCAAAGCGUGCGCAGGCGGUUGUGCAAGACCGAUGUGAAAGCCCCGGGCUCAACCUGGGAAUUGCAUUCGAGACUGCAUAGCUAGGGUGCGGAAGAGGGAAGCGGAAUUUCCGGUGUAGCGGUGAAAUGCGUAGAUAUCGGAAGGAACACCAGUGGCGAAAGCGGCUUCCUGGUCCAGCACCGACGUCAGGCACGAAAGCGUGGGGAGCAAAUAGG